GAACGGGUGAGUAACACGUGGGUGAUCUGCCCUGCACUUCGGGAUAAGCUUGGGAAACUGGGUCUAAUACCGGAUAGGAGCCAUCUUUAGUGUGGUGGUUGGAAAGUUUUUCGGUGUAGGAUGAGCUCGCGGCCUAUCAGCUUGUUGGUGGGGUAAUGGCCUACCAAGGCGGCGACGGGUAGCCGGCCUGAGAGGGUGUACGGCCACAUUGGGACUGAGAUACGGCCCAG
rnacentral:rRNA from 1 species